rnacentral:rRNA from 1 species
AACGAACGCUGGCGGCAUGCCUAACACAUGCAAGUCGAACGGGAUCCAGGCUUCGGCCUGGUGAGAGUGGCGGACGGGUGAGUAACACGUGGGAACCUGCCUUUUUGGUUCGGGAUAACCGCGGGAAACUGCGGCUAAUACCGGAUGCUCCCGAGAGGGGAAAGAUUUAUCGCCAGAAGAGGGGCCCGCGUCCGAUUAGGUAGUUGGUGAGGUAAUGGCUCACCAAGCCGACGAUCGGUAGCUGGUCUGAGAGGAUGAUCAGCCACACUGGGACUGAGAUACGGCCCAGACUCCUACGGGAGGCAGCAGUGGGGAAUAUUGGACAAUGGGGCAACCCUGAUCCAGCAAUGCCGCGUGAGUGAUGAAGGCCUUAGGGUUGUAAAGCUCUUUUGCCAGGGAAGAUGAUGACUGUACCUGGAGAAUAAGCCCCGGCUAACUUCGUGCCAGCAGCCGCGGUAAU